rnacentral:misc_RNA from 1 species
AUCCAAAGCCCUCAAUAAUUUGAAUUUUGAUAGCGAUUUAUCUGAGAAAGACACAGAGCUAUUCACAAAUACAAGCAGUGAACGAAGUCGCGUCAUACUGCUAUAUGAUUGAAGGUCCCCUAUAGUUGUUUGAAUAGACAAACGGCGAGCUUGACGAGAUUGGCAUUCAUCAAUCUCUACUUUUCCAUCACAUACAAGACCAAACUUUUCUCUCUCUGAUAUUG